UACGAAGGGGGCUAGCGUUGCUCGGAAUGACUGGGCGUAAAGGGCGCGUAGGCGGAUUGUACAGUCAGACGUGAAAUUCCUGGGCUCAACCUGGGGACUGCGUUUGAGACGUGCAGUCUAGAGUGAGGAAGAGGGUUGUGGAAUUCCCAGUGUAGAGGUGAAAUGCGUAGAUAUUGGGAAGAACACCGGUGGCGAAGGCGGCAACCUGGUCCUUGACUGACGCUGAGGCGCGAAAGCGUGGGGAGCAAACAGG
rnacentral:rRNA from 1 species